UACGUAGGGACCAAGCGUUGUUCGGAUUUACUGGGCGUAAAGGGCGCGUAGGCGGCGUGUUAAGUCAGCUGUGAAAUCUCCGAGCUUAACUCGGAACGGUCAGCUGAUACUGAUGUGCUAGAGUGCAGAAGGGGCAAUCGGAAUUCUUGGUGUAGCGGUGAAAUGCGUAGAUAUCAAGAGGAACACCUGAGGUGAAGACGGGUUGCUGGGCUGACACUGACGCUGAGGCGCGAAAGCAUGGGGAGCGAACAGG
rnacentral:rRNA from 1 species